AUUCAGUUCUGUUUAUUUACAUUUAAGGAUUGAAAUACUCUCCAUUAAUAUCUAAUGUGUGACAAGGAGGUCAGCAGGAUGAUAUUCCUGGAUGACUGGAUGUUUGUACAUUACCAAGAUGAUAGUCCGGGAUAUGUUAAAUGUUUGCUAAUGGCUUUGCAGCUGUAGUUAGUGCUUCAGUGUCAGCAGCCACAUUAACAUUGUCUUCAAUUAGAUGAUAGCAUGUCAAAUCAAAUCAAAUUUUAUUAGUCACAUGCACCGAUUACAACAGGUGAGUGAAAUGCUUACUUACAGUGAAAUGCUUACUUACAAGCUCCUAACCGACAGUGCAGUUUAAAAAAAUAUGGAUAAGAAUAAGAGAUAAAAGUAACAAGUAAUUAAAGAGCAGAGGUUUUUUCACCUCUGGAGUCUCUCACGUGUAGAUCUGCCAGACAUUGCUCAUAGCAUGCUCCUCUUCACACGUUCACACAGACUGUCACACCGUUUACAUUACUCUGUCUUUAUUUACGAAUUAAAACAUACAAUUUAUACAGUAAAAAAUACACUAACAAAAUACAGUAACAGUGUAUAAAUACUUUAUUUCACAUGGAUCAUUAACUGUCUUCGAAGAUGAUAACUUUGACAGGGUCACCACCCUUGGCUGUCUUCUGAUUGGCUCCCAUUAUGGGUUAGAACACAAAGCCAGCCAAUAGGGUGGGCCCCCUGAGGUCACUCCUGCAGUUGGAGAGUACAGACAGACAUCCUCUUCCACAGGUAUUUGUUGUUAAGAGGGAAUCACACUUCAGACAAGUACAUAAGUACCACAACAUUCAGUAGAGACCUGCAGAAUGGAUAGGGCUGUGUGUACCAUUAUCAGAUAUAAAGACAUGGGACAUCCACCCUCUGUGUCAAAGUCUGGGAUUUUGUUUUGUAUUCAGAUGUGUGGAAGCAACUCUAACUAUGAUCACUUUAAAAGGAAACACCAGUUGAAACACUACACAUUGCAUUCUUUAUACUGGAACAUUCUAUGGGAAAUAACAAGGAGUUCAUUGACGUAUAAAAACAGUAAGUCAUCUUCCACAGCGACUCUUCUCUUUUCUUUUGCUCCACAAUGAUGAACAUGAA
ensembl:lncRNA